AGGCUACCGCUAUUGGAGUUCGAUUAAGCCAUGCGAGUCGCGAGAAUUAGAUUCUCGGCGUACCGCUCAGUAACACGUGGGUAACCUGCCCUAUGCUGGAUAAUAACCUCGGGAAACUGAGAAUAAUGAUCUAUAGUUCACUACGCCUGGAACGGUGAGUGGAUGAAAGCUCCGGCGGCAUAGGAUGGGCCUGCGGCGUAUCAGGUUGUAGGGGGUGUAAUGUACCCUCUAGCCCUCUACGCGUACGGGUGUUGAGAGACAUCGCCCGGAGAUGGAUUCUGAGACACGAAUCCAGACCCUACGGGGUGCAGCAGGCGCGAAAACUUGGCAAUGCGAGAAAUCGUGACCAGGGAACUCCAAGUGCAUGGGGUAAGACCUAUGCUUUUCUAGACUCUAAAAAGGUCUUGGAAUAAGAGGUGGGUAAGGACGGUGCCAGCCGCCGCGGUAAUACCGGCGCCUCAAGUGGUAGUCGCUUUUAUUGGGCCUAAAACGUCCGUAGCCGGUCUGAUACAUUCGUGGGUAAAUCAACCAGCUUAACUGGUUGAAUUCUGCGAGGACGGUCAGACUUGGGACCGGGAGAGGUGUGGGGUACGCUCAGGGUAGGGGUAAAAUCCUGUCAUCCUGAGCGGACCACCUGUUGCGAAGGCGCCACACUAGAACGGAUCCGACGGUCAGGGACGAAGCCUAGGGGCACGAACCGGAUUAGAUACCCGGGUAGUCCUAGGUGUAAACGCUGUGGACUUGAUGUUGGAGGAGCUCCGAGCUCUUUCAGUGUCGAAGCGAAGGUGAUAAGUCCACUGCCUGGGAAGUACGGUCGCAAGGCUGAAACUUAAAGGAAUUGGCGGGGGAGCACCGCAACCUGAGGAUUGUGCGGUUU
rnacentral:rRNA from 1 species